GCCUGACUGGUUCAGUCAGUAGAGCAUGAGACCUCACAAUCUCAGAAUUGUGAGUUUGAGUCCCAUAUUGGGUA
rnacentral:tRNA from 1 species